rnacentral:rRNA from 1 species
AGCGUAGGUGGCCUAACAUGUCAACUGUGAAAACCCGGAGCUCAACUCCGGACUUGCAGUUGAAACUGGUAGGCUUGAGGACGGUAGAGGAAGACGGAACUGCCAGUGUAGGGGUAAAAUCCUUAGAUAUUGGCAGGAACGCCGGUGACGAAGGUGGUUUUCUGGGCCGGUUCUGACACUGAUGCUCGAAAGCCAGGGGAGCGAACGGG